UGCCCAGCCAUAACACAACAAUUAAACCACCAAUUGUUCGCCAAAUAACUACGAGUAUAGACUUAAAAUUUAAAAGACUUGACGGUGCCUCACAACAGCCUAGAGGAGCCUGUCAAAUAACCGAUACUCCACGAUUAACCCAACCCACCCUAGCCAAUCAGUCUAUAUACCGCCGUCGCCAGCCCACCUUAUGAGAGAAUCAAAAUGAGCUAAAUAGUCCUUCACACUAACACGACAGGUCGAGGUGUAACUUAUGGGCGGGUCAAAGAUGGGCUACAUUUUCUAACACAGAAAACACGAAUAAACCCUGAAAUAAGAAACUGAAGGCGGAUUUAGCAGUAUACUAGAAUAAAUAUUCCUAGUCGAAACCAACGCAAUGAGGUGCGUACACACCGCCCGUCAUCCCUGUCACUCAAACAACAAACUUUAUAAACACACAAAUAACCAACAACAGGGCAAGUCGUA
rnacentral:rRNA from 1 species